GUCAGUGGCCACGCCGCCCUGAACACGCCUGAUCCCGUCUGAUCUCAAGCCAAGCAGGGUCGGGCCUGGUUAGUACUUGGAUGGCAGACCACCUAGGAAGACCAGGGGCUGCAGGUU
rnacentral:rRNA from 1 species